CUCACGUUGUAACAACAGAAGAUGGCUAUCUUUUAACGUUACAUACAAGUAUUCCAGGUGGUAAUGGCUCUCUACCUGUAUUACUGGUACACGGUGCUUUUAGCGACGACUAUAUGUUUGGAUCACUCUUGGCAAAGGCAAAGCACUUGCUUAUCUAUUAGCGGAUCAGGGAUACGAUGUUUGGUUGGCUAAUUUGCGUGGUACUACUCAUUCGA